rnacentral:lncRNA from 1 species
UCGGUGACACUCAGCAUCGUCCACUGCCCUCCCGUCACCACCGCCAUCAUCCACCGGCCCCACGCCCGCGAGCAGCUGGGCUUCUGCGUGGAGGACGGCAUCGUGAGGCCCCGGCCCCUGGCCCCGGGGUGGGGGGGUAGGGCGGCCCUGAGCACGGCCCCUGAGCAGCCCCCACCUCUUUCCCGUCCCCCUCUUUUCUCCCCCAGAUCUGCAGCCUCCUCCGUGGUGGCAUCGCCGAGCGUGGGGGCAUCCGCGUCGGCCACCGCAUCAUUGAGAUCAAUGGGCAGAGUGUGGUGGCCACGCCACACGCCCGCAUCAUCGAGCUGCUCACCGAGGCCUAUGGCGAGUGCAUAUCAAGACGAUGCCAGCUGCCACAUAUCGCCUCCUUACAGGCCAGGAGCAGCCCGUGUACCUGUGACCACCUCAUCCCUUGCCUGCCACUGUGCCUUCGCCUCCAUGGCCCCGGAGCCCCAUCCUGGGCCUGCCCUGGCUGGCCAGGACCCCAGCGGUUCU